rnacentral:rRNA from 1 species
AUACGGAGGGUGCAAGCGUUAAUCUGAAUUACUGGGCGUAAAGCGCGCGUAGGCGGAUAUUUAAGUCUCAUGGGAAAGCCCUGGGCUCAACCUGGGAACUGCAUGGGAUACUGGGUAUCUAGAAUACAGUAGAGGGUAGUGGAAUUUCAGGUGUAGCGGUGAAAUGCGUAGAGAUCUGAAGGAACAUCAGUGGCGAAGGCGACUACCUGGACUGAUAUUGACGCUGAGGUGCGAAAGCGUGGGGAGCAAACGGGAUUAGAAACCCUUGUAGUCC